GAGGUGCGCCAGGCAAUCGCUGUAAUUCAUUCACGAAUUAUGGAGGAAAGUCCGAACUCUUUCCCGAUCCGUCGUUAGACGGAAAGGGAUGGACACAGUGCCGGAUAACGUCCGGGGUCCCCUUAAAAGGAUACGGAAAGUGUCACAGAGAAUAUACCGUCCCGAUGCUGUUUAUCGGGAUAAGGGUGAAAAGGUGCGGUAUGCGAUCAAGCGUACUUAAUGUAAGAGCGCACCGCGGUGAUAGUAAUAUCGCCGGUCCCGCAAGGGAUUCCGCUCGCGCGGAACAUGACAAACCCCACUGAGAGCAAGACCGCGUAAGUUUCGUUUCCCGUUCGCGGGAAGAGAGAUGUCCGCUCAAUUCUUUACCGAGACGAAACGGGUAGGUCGCUAGAAUCAUGCAGCAAUGUAUGAUCAAGAGAAAUGAUUGCCUCGUCCCCUUUAUGGGGACAAGACAAAAUUCGGCUUAUCGGCAAGCCCAGCGC
rnacentral:RNase_P_RNA from 1 species